CCUACGGGUGGCAGCAGUGAGGAAUAUUGGUCAAUGGACGCGAGUCUGAACCAGCCAAGUAGCGUGAAGGAUGACUGCCCUAUGGGUUGUAAACUUCUUUUAUAAAGGAAUAAAACGAGGCACGUGUGCCUGUUUGCAUGUACUUUAUGAAUAAGGAUCGGCUAACUCCGUGCCAGCAGCCGCGGUAAUACGGAGGAUCCAAGCGUUAUCCGGAUUUAUUGGGUUUAAAGGGUGCGUAGAUGGGUUGUUAAGUUAGUUGUGAAAGUUUGGGGCUCAACCGUAAAAGUGCCAUUGAUACUGGCAGUCUUGAGUACAGUUGAGGUAGGCGGAAUUCGUGGUGUAGCGGUGAAAUGCUUAGAGAUCACGAAGAACCCCGAUUGCGAAGGCAGCUUACGAAACUGUGACUGACAUUGAUGCUCGAAAGUGUGGGUAUCAAACAGGAUUAGAUACCCUUGUAGUC
rnacentral:rRNA from 1 species